CAAAACAUUGAAGAAAUAUUGUAUGGUGUUGGGCUUCUUUCUGCAGAAGAAGUACCAACACCAAAGCGUUCAGAACUCCAUUUAACACCUGAAGAGAAGCGACUUCUUCAAAAAGAAGGUGUCAGUCUGCCAUCUCAUUAUCCUCUCACAAAGGAUGAAGAACGUGAGCUUAAAAGGAUAA